rnacentral:rRNA from 1 species
AUUGAACGCUGGCGGCAUGCCUUACACAUGCAAGUCGAACGGUAACGCGGGGCAACCUGGCGACGAGUGGCGAACGGGUGAGUAAUGUAUCGGAACGUGCCCAGUUGUGGGGGAUAACUGCUCGAAAGAGCAGCUAAUACCGCAUACGACCUGAGGGUGAAAGCGGGGGAUCGCAAGACCUCGCGCAAUUGGAGCGGCCGAUAUCAGAUUAGGUAGUUGGUGGGGUAAAGGCCCACCAAGCCAACGAUCUGUAGCUGGUCUGAGAGGACGACCAGCCACAAUGGGACUGAGAGCCGGCCCAGACUCCUACGGGGGGCAGCAGUGGGGAAUUUUGGACAAUGGACGCAAGUCUGAUCCAGCCAUGCCGCGUGCGGGAAGAAGGCCUUCGGGUUGUAAACCGCUUUUGUCAGGGAAGAAACGCUCUGGGUUAAUACCUCGGGGUAACGACGGUACCUGAAGAAUAAGCACCGGCUAACUACGUGCCAGCAGCCGCAGUAAAAC